AUGCAGGCUCUAUCCAUGGACACUUCUGGUAAUGGUCAAUGGCAUUUUGACACAGGACUACAAGGAUGGCACGAUCCUGAGCCGUCACGACAGUACAAGUGAUCUUUACCCACUCACCUCCAAUGCUUCCGCCACCGCUUGUUUCGCCUCAUCUCAAGAAUCUCCGUUUUGGCACAAUCGACUUGGACACCCGGGUCAACCCGUCCUGGAG
rnacentral:lncRNA from 1 species